rnacentral:rRNA from 1 species
GAUGAACGCUAGCGGGAGGCCUAACACAUGCAAGCCGAGCGGUAGAGUCUCUUCGGAGACUUGAGAGCGGCGCACGGGUGCGGAACACGUGUGCAACCUGCCUUUAUCUGGGGGAUAGCCAUCCGAAGGGAAGAUUAAUACACCAUAAUAUAUUGGAUGUCAUCAUCUGGAAUUGAAAACUCUGGUGGAUAGAGAUGAGUAGGCGCAGGACUAGAUAGUUGGUGAGGUAACGACUCACUAAGUCAGCUAUCUUUAGGGGGCCGGAGAGGGUGAUCCCCCAGACUGGGACAGAGACACGGACCAGACGCCUACGAGAGGCAGCAGUGAGGAAUAUUGGGCAAUGGGUGAGAGCCUGAUCCAGCCAGCCCGCGUGAAGGACGACGGCCCUAUGGAUUGUAAACUUCUUUUGUAUAGGGAUAAACCUAGAUACGUGUAUUUAGCUGAAGGUACUAUACGAAUAAGCACCGGCUAACUCCGUG